CGGACGGGUGAGUAACGCGUGAGAAUCUGCCUUCUGGUCGGGGACAACCACUGGAAACGGUGGCUAGUACCGGAUGAGCCUACGGGUAAAAGAUUUAUUGCCAGAAGAGGAGCUCGCGUCUGAUUAGCUAGUUGGUGAGGUAAGAGCUCACCAAGGCAUCGAUCAGUAGCUGGUCUGAGAGGAUGACCAGCCACACUGGGACUGAGACACGGCCCAGACUCCUACGGGAGGCAGCAGUGGGGAAUUUUCCGCAAUGGGCGAAAGCCUGACGGAGCAAGACCGCGUGAGGGAGGAAGGCUCUUGGGUUGUAAACCUCUUUUGUCAGGGAAGAACACAAUGACGGUACCUGAAGAAUCAGCAUCGGCUAACUCCGUGCCAGCAGCCGCGGUAAUACGGAGGAUGCAAGCGUUAUCCGGAAUUAUUGGGCGUAAAGCGUCCGCAGGUGGCACUUCAAGUCUGCUGUCAAAGGUCGGGGCUUAACCCCGGGAAGGCAGUGGAAACUGAAGCGCUAGAGUGUCGUAGGGGUAGAGGGAAUUCCCGGUGUAGCGGUGAAAUGCGUAGAGAUCGGGAAGAACAUCGGUGGCGAAAGCGCUCUACUGGACGACAACUGACACUCAGGGACGAAAGCUAGGGGAGCGAAUGGGAUUAGAUACCCCAGUAGUC
rnacentral:rRNA from 1 species